rnacentral:rRNA from 1 species
AUUGAACGCUGGCGGCAGGCCUAACACAUGCAAGUCGAACGAGUGGCGGACGGGUGAGUAAUGUCUGGGAAACUGCCUGAUGGAGGGGGAUAACUACUGGAAACGGUAGCUAAUACCGCAUACCAUCGGAUGUGCCCAGAUGGGAUUAGCUAGUAGGUGGGGUAAAGGCUCACCUAGGCGACGAUCCCUAGCUGGUCUGAGGGGAUGACCAGCCCGCUUGGAACUUGUACACGGUCCAGACGCCUACGGGAGACAGCAGUGGUGAAUAUUGCACAAUGGGCGCAAGCCUGAUGCAGCCAUGCCGCGUGUAUGAAGAAGGCCUUCGGGUUGUAAAGUACUUUCAGCGGGGAGGCGUUACCCGCAUAAGAAGCACCGGCUAACUCCGUGCCAGACGCCGCGGUAAUAC